ACUCCUUCGCUUCCAUUAUCACCAUCUUCUUCGUUUUGUCCUCUCUUGUGAGGAUGUGGUCAUUUUGCCUCAACCAUUCUGUUGUCUUCCGGACUCGUGCCCGUUCUUGCCUCUUCUCCUGGCGUUUGCCCUUGUCGCCGGUUCUCAUGCGCUGUCUGGGGUGCUCCCAUCUUGGACUCUCUUUGUCUGGCUCAUUGCGAUCUUUAAUCGGGGUCUCUAUAACCGGAAUGUCAUGCUGGAUAUCUAAGGUUGCAGGUAGGGCAUAGGAAGGGCCUUUCUCUAUCACUUUUUUAACAUAUUCAGGGAGCUGUAUAUCACCAAUUAUUGUGAGGACAUCCUCAACUUUAAAUUUCCGUAUUUCCUUUCUCACCAGUUGUUUUCUAAUUAUCCACUU
rnacentral:lncRNA from 1 species